UACGGGGGGGGCAAGCGUUGUUCGGAAUUACUGGGCGUAAAGCGCGCGUAGGCGGCUCUUCAAGUCAGGCGUGAAAGCCCCGGGCUUAACUCGGGAACUGCGCUUGAUACUGUCGAGCUAGAGUGUGGAAGGGGCGAUUGGAAUUCCGUGUGUAGCGGUGAAAUGCGUAGAUAUACGGAGGAACACCAGAGGCGAAGGCGGAUCGCUGGGCCAACACUGACGCUGAUGUGCGAAAGCUAGGGGAGCAAACGGG
rnacentral:rRNA from 1 species